rnacentral:rRNA from 1 species
AUGCUAGACGUGUUCUCGUCUAGUACAAAAGAAUGGCAAAAGAGGUUGUUUAUCCGUGAAGGUGAGGCUUUGGACACAGUGGCUACUAUACGGCUGGAUAGUUUAGAACCAACAUUUUGGGGGUCGAGGUGGCGCUAUGGUGUCUACUGGCGAGGAGCACUCUAUGUGCAUUGUCGUGGUGCAUUUGUUGCAAGGUUAUUCUUACAGGAUGGCAAGUACCAAGUAGUGAAAACACCAAUAGAUAUCGAGGAAAGCAAACGUGCACAACCUUGUCUGGGGAAAUCAGAAAAAGGGGUUUACUUUGCAACAAUUCAUGAUGAAUAUCUAUUUCGGGUUUGGAUUUUAUUAAAUGAAUCAUGUCAGAUAUCUUGGUCAUUGAAGCAUCACAUUGAUCUUAACCCAUGGGCAACGAUAUAUUUGAACCAGCCUAAGGGAAUUGACAAAACUUGGUUCUUAUAUGGUGAUAACAAUGAAGAUGGAACCAAUGGGGAUGAGAAUUUUGAAUGGAACUCCGAUGACGAUAACGUUCUGAAUAUUGAAGAUGAUUAUGAACCUUUCUACAGCCAUGUUUCUAUCCUCGGAUUUCACCCCUACAAAGAGAUUGUUUUCUUAGAGGUAUCAUCAUUCAGAGUAGUGGCUUAUCAUCUGAAUAGCUCAUAA